UGGGGAAUUUUGCACAAUGGGGGAAACCCUGAUGCAGCGACGCCGCGUGAUUUAGAAGGCCUUCGGGUUGUAAAAAUCUUUUGUAUAGGAAGAAAAUGACAGUACUAUACGAAUAAGGACCGGCUAAUUACGUGCCAGCAGCCGCGGUAAUACGUAAGGUCCGAGCGUUGUCCGGAAUCAUUGGGCGUAAAGGGUACGUAGGCGGGUAAGCAAGUUAGAAGUGAAAUAAUAUAGCUCAACUAUAUAAAGCUUUUAAAACUGCUAGGCUUGAGAGAUGGAAGGGAAAGUGGAAUUCCUAGUGUAGCGGUGAAAUGCGCAGAUAUUAGGAAGAAUACCGGUGGCGAAGGCGACUUUCUGGUCAUCAUCUGACGCUGAGGUACGAAAGCGUGGGUAGCAAACAGG
rnacentral:rRNA from 1 species